rnacentral:rRNA from 1 species
GACGAACGCUGGCGGCGUGCUUAACACAUGCAAGUCGAACGGAAAGGCCCUGCUUUUGUGGGGUGCUCGAGUGGCGAACGGGUGAGUAACACGUGAGUAACCUGCCCUUGACUUUGGGAUAACUUCAGGAAACUGGGGCUAAUACCGGAUAGGAGCUCCUGCUGCAUGGUGGUGGUUGGAAAGUUUCGGCGGUUGGGGAUGGACUCGCGGCUUAUCAGCUUGUUGGUGGGGUAGUGGCUUACCAAGGCUUUGACGGGUAGCCGGCCUGAGAGGGUGAACGGCCACAUUGGGACUGAGAUACGGCCCAGACUCCUACGGGAGGCAGCAGUGGAGAAUAUUGCACAGUGGGCGGGAGCCUGAUGCAGCAACGCCGCGUGCGGGAUGACGGCCUUCGGGUUGUAAACCGCUUUCGCCUGUGACGAAGAGUGAGUGACGGUAAUGAGUAAAGAAGCACCGGCUAACUACGUG